AGGUCCUACGGGACGCAGCAGUGGGGAAUAUUGCACAAUGGGCGAAAGCCUGAUGCAGCAACGCCGCGUGAAGGAAGACGGUUUUCGGAUUGUAAACUUCUGUUCUUAGUGAAGAAUAAUGACGGUAACUAAGGAGCAAGCCACGGCUAACUACGUGCCAGCAGCCGCGGUAAUACGUAGGGGGCAAGCGUUAUCCGGAUUUACUGGGUGUAAAGGGUGCGUAGGUGGCAUGGCAAGUCAGAAGUGAAAGACCGGGGCUCAACCCCGCGGACUGCUUUUGAAACUGUCAGGCUGGAGUACAGGAG
rnacentral:rRNA from 1 species